GAUUAACGCUAGCGGCAGGCAUAAUACAUGCGAGUUGAACGGCAGCACAGGUAGCAAUACUGGGUGGCGAGUGGCGCACGGGUGCGUAACACGUAUGCAACCUACCCUAUACAGGCGAAUAACCUUUAGAAAGGAGGGCUAAUACGCCGUAGUAUUACAGAUGGGCAUCUAUUUGUAAUUAAAGAUUUAUCGGUAUAGGAUGGGCAUGCGUCCCAUUAGUUAGUUGGUAAGGUAACGGCUUACCAAGACGAUGAUGGGUAGGGGAUCUGAGAGGACUUACCCCUAGACUGGUACUGGGACACGGACCAGACUGCUACGGGAGAGAGCGGUAAGGAAGAUUGGGCAAUGGCGGCGAGGCUGACCCAGCCAUGCCGCGUGCAGGAAGACGGCCUUAGGGGUUGUAAACUGCUUUUAUACGAGAAUAAUAGAGUGUACGCGUACAUUUAUGAAGGUACCGUAUGAAUAAGCAUCGGCUAACUACGUG
rnacentral:rRNA from 1 species